AAUCAACGCUGGCGGCGUGCUUAACACAUGCAAGUCGAGCGAGAGCCAGCUGAGGGGUAACCCUCGGCUGGGGACAGCGGCGAACGGGUGCGUAACACGUGGGCAACCUGCCCCUGACACUGGGAUAACCCCGGGAACCGGAGCUAAUACCGGAUACUCUCGGCCGAUCACAUGGCUGGCCGAGGAAAGGUCCGCCGGUCAGGGAUGGGCCCGCGGCCUAUCAGCUUGUUGGUGGGGAACGCCUACCAAGGCGACGACGGGUAGCUGGUCUGAGAGGACGACCAGCCACACUGGAACUGAGAUACGGUCCAGACUCCUACGGGAGGCAGCAGUGGGGAAUAUUGCACAAUGGGCGAAAGCCUGAUGCAGCGACGCCGCGUGAGGGAUGAAGGCC
rnacentral:rRNA from 1 species